rnacentral:rRNA from 1 species
GAUGAACGCUGGCGGCGUGCUUAACACAUGCAAGUCGAACGAAGCACUUAAGAUUGAUUCUUCGGAUGACGUAUUUUGUGACUUAGUGGCGGAUGGGUGAGUAACGCGUGGGUAACAUGCCUCACACAGGGGGAUAACAGUUAGAAAUGACUGCUAAUACCGCAUAACCCGAUAGGAUCGCAUGAUCCAGACGGAAAAGAUUUAUCGGUGUGAGAUGGACCCGCGUCUGAUUAGCUAGUUGGUGAGGUAACGGCACACCAAGGCGACGAUCAGUAGCCGGAGUGUGAGGGGGAACGGCGACAUUGGGACUCAGACACGGCCCAAACGCGUACGAGAGGCAGCAGUGGGGGAUAUAGCGCAAUGGGGGAAACGCUGAUGCAGCGACGCCGCGUGAGUGAAGAAGUAUUUCGGUAUGUAAAGCUCUAUCAGCAGGGCAGAAAAUGACGGUACCUGACGAAGAAGCCCCGGCUAACUACGUG